rnacentral:rRNA from 1 species
UACGGGGGGGGCAAGCGUUGUUCGGAAUUACUGGGCGUAAAGGGCUCGUAGGUGGCCAACUAAGUCAGACGUGAAAUCCCUCAGCUUAACUGGGGAACUGCGUCUGAUACUGGAUGGCUUGAGUUUGGGAGAGGGAUGCGGAAUUCCAGGUGUAGCGGUGAAAUGCGUAGACAUCUGGAGGAACACCGGUGGCGAAGGCGGCAUCCUGGACCAACACUGACACUGAGGAGCGAAAGCCAGGGGAGCAAACGGG